GGGUGUUUGGUUUAGUGGUAUGAUUAUUGCUUCGGGUGCAAGAGGUUGUGAGUUCGAUUCUCACAACACCCC
rnacentral:tRNA from 1 species